rnacentral:lncRNA from 1 species
AGUGUUCAUCGUGAUCAUGGAAGCUGAUUUCUCAUCCAUGUGGAAGGCAGGAAGCAGACAUUCAUACCUAAUACUUAGCCUUGAAAACAAAAAGCGGAUGGUAAUCCUUUGUAAGCAGCAUCUAAUACCAAAGGGGAGCUGAAACCGAAAGUUAAUUUUUAAACAUCUGUAUCUUGUUUGUCUUCAGGAGCGAAAUAAGGACGGUUACUCUCUUCAAACCAAACCUGG